GCUCAGCUUUGGAGAGGGACUUUGUCUUUGAUGAUGAUAAUGAUAAUUGCUCUGGUAGGGGAAAGGGACGUACUGGUAUCAGCAGCAGAAUUUAUGGUUACACUUGGGUGUGAAUAAUAGGGAAACGUGCCUCGCCACCACACCCACAGCAGCGCUCUCUUAAGUGGUGUUCCUUCUGGGCCUGUGUGGACUAGGGGCAUAACGGGGCGCCUGACUGGCAGGAGGGGAAAGCGGAGACUCCUUCAGGUUUCCGAAGAGGUCCGAACGGACAGCAUUAUUUCUGCGCUACUAAUCCUAUCGUCCUUGCUUCAAUAUGGAUCGUCUGUACAAUGUGUCUUUGCAACACUGACGAACAUGGCCUAAACAUAUAAGGAAAUCUUGAAGAGUCUUACGCUUUUAAUCCUCCAGUCAUUGAUUGUGCUGUGAGGACAUUGAGGUGAGGUGGUAGGAGUAAAAAACAACUGCUUUCCUGGCCCUUUACAACCUACUUAAGAAUUUGACUGACAGAAUGUUGGCACCAGCUGUGGAAGAGCUGAUCAGCCUCAACUCCAAAGUCUAUUUUCUUCUAUGAACAACCACUAACAAACCUGGAGGAUACGAGCCUGGCAAAAGGAGAAAAAGGAGAGAGGGAGAGAGAGAAGAAUUAAAAAAGAGACGUGCUGAGGGUGGACUGUCAAUAAGAGAUGUUCAUGUAUCAGAGAGACAGGCAAGAUAUGACAUUGUAAAAAUAAAAUUGAAUCUCUGAAAAC
rnacentral:lncRNA from 1 species